rnacentral:ncRNA from 1 species
GGGUUCGAGUUGGAGCACGCCUGUCGGGACCCGAAAGAUGGUGAACUAUGCCUGAGCGGGGCGAAGCCAGAGGAAACUCUGGUGGAGGCGUGAAGCGAUACUGACGUGCAAAUCGUUCGUCUGACUUGGGUAUAGGGGCGAAAGACUAAUCGAACCAUCUAGUAGCUGGUUCCCUCCGAAGUUUCCCUCAGGAUAGCUGGAGCCCAUUACGAGUUCUAUCAGG